AGCUCUUAGCCCCAAGCCUCCAUUAGAAUGCUUUUCCCCUUGCAGCUGCUACUAAGUGACCAGUUCUUCCAUUCAUUGUACGGCCUAGAAAGUCAACUCAUUGACCUGUCUGCAAUUUGUGGGCAAUGAAAUGAAUGAAGAACAAGCAGCAGAAGAGAAAAGAGCCUUUUUCCUCUUCUUUUUGGACCGAUAUUUCGGCUGAGGACUGCGACAGGCCGUCAUGAUUCGCAGAAAAAGAAAUAAAGAAAGAAACCUUCACAUUUCUCAAAGCCGCUUUCGAACAAGAUGAACCCCCACUUCGCUGACACAAAGUCGCGCCGAUUUCUGGUUUGGAAAACGGCGUCUCGGUAUCAUUUGAUUCACACGGCGGCUCUCCUUGCUGCCCCCUUCCACCAAGAACCCUAACAUUGUAAGUCUUUUCCCUUCUCUCAUUCCUCGAGUUUCUUUACAUAUAUGCGGUCCGAUAUUGAAUAAACUCGUAUCACCUUUACAUGGAAGUUAAUUUUCUUUAAAAUGGCGUUUUGUAUUAUAUACAUAUAUAAAUCAUUAUGAUUUUUUUGCAAAAACGACCCCCGAAUUUUCAAAAAUUUUAAUGAUAACAUAACUUUAAAACUCGCGUAGGUAAAAGUAUUUUAAUUUUUUUUUUUAAGUUAAAGGUAUUAUUGAAAAUCUUUAUCAGUUUGGAAAAUCCAAAGCUAUUACAUAUUUUUUAGACCUCUAACAACAAACGUACUCCUUAAUAUUGAAGUUGGGUUCGACGUUUAGGGUUUAUUAGACCUAGAGUUUGCCCCUAACAAAAAAUAUACUACAUAAUAGUUGAUUAAGACUAUGUGAAUGUA